rnacentral:lncRNA from 1 species
UAGCGAGGAGUACUUCGGUAGAUGGCAAAGGACCCAACAGAAUCGGGCCGUCCAGUAGAAUCUGAUCAGACACAUGGGCAGCUCGAUCGGCACACAUGUUGUGGCCGAUAGACUAAUAAAAAAUUUAUACGAAAACUCUUCAUUAGAACUGUAAAAACUCUUAUAUGCUUGCUUUAAUUACUUUAAUUUUAUUAUUUACUUAUUGUAAACACGACAGC